CUGCAGCCUCCUGCUCCCCUCCCCUAGUCCCCUACACCCCCGACCCUAGAGUUCACCCGUCGCCACCCCCGCCGCCCCGCGUCGACGCCGACAUGGCCCGCAGCAGGUGCCGACAGCCGCGCCACGCCGCAGUGGGGAACCAAUCCGGCCGCCGCACAAGGCGCCUCCCGCCGCAGAUGUGGGGCCAGGUGCCUCCGCAUCCCAGGCCGCCUACUGCGGCGUGCUGGCGGCAACCCCCUACAGGCUACAGUGCCAACGAGGUCAGGAAAAACCUAGCCAAUUUUGCCUUCGAUCACCACAUCUGAGCUACCUCUGCUACUCCUUCUCAGACAGAGGCUCACAAAAGAUACUACGCCAUCGCCUGCAAAUUCUGAGAUCGGCACACGCGCAAUGGCAAUCUGCUCGAAGAUCUUACCCGUACAGUGCAUGUUCCUUUGGGUGCGCUUUCCUGUCAAUGCAGGUGGAAUGGAAUUCCUUUUUUAGUGGAUGUGGACUUGUGGAAUAACUACAAUUGAGAAGAAGGCUAAGGACAACGAGGAGAUUUCCAUUGUACAUAUAUUUGGAACAGGGAAGAGAGACCAGGGAGGCGAGUUUUCGUACAGGAGAUGACUGAGAUUUGGUCUCUCCAUGUAAAAUGGUGUUUUUCAAAAAAAGAAAAAAAACGUUGGCACUACACAAGCAGGAUCGGGAGGAUUAAUCGUGGAGGGCCAUUUAUACAUUUCAGGUACGUAUACAUUAUUGCAGUAUUACUUUGUUUACUUAGUUUUAUAUUUCUUUUUAUUUAUAGGGACAUCAAUGGUUUCCCCAUAUUAGAACAGUACCUCAAAGUAGUAUGAAUGUUUUAUAUCUUUCAUCUUCUAAUCGACUGAACUUAGAAGUUUCAUAUUCUCUAAGGACGACCAUUGGUUUCCUCUUCACCAAGAUGUGUUUACUACAGUAUGUAUAUAUAAUUUCCGUUUACUUCUUGCUUGUAAAAUAAAUAACCAUGUUUUGACUAAAUCCAAGUAUGUGCAAAAUCAGAUGUUGUUUGCCA